ensembl:lncRNA
AACAUUUUUCAUACAUUUUAUUUGAAUUGAUUUAAAAAUUGAAUAUGGCACCAUAAAUCAACUGAAUAUGGUUAAUAUUUUACAGCUUCAUAAGUGAGUGAGUGGCCAGCGAUAUUAACACUCAGCUUCAUUAUCCAGAACUAUUAAACAAUCAACUAAUGGCGCAAAGGAAAUCAUUAACAUUAUUACUGUACAUUAGGGGUGAGGGAGUAUCAUAUUAGGACAAGGAAGGGUGAGAAGGGAAGGGAACAUUCAGAUAGCUAUUAAACACGUGUAGACUUAUGUACAUUCCAACUGUACCUCAUCCAAAUUACAUAUCAUGUAUACUAUAGAGAUAUAUACAAUUCAAAUAAUACGUUUUUAACAGACAAUAUAUCGACCGUAUUAGGAGCCAUGAGGCACAGCGGAUGAGAGCAUAAUGAUUCGAUUUACAUACUGACGCAACUGAAAAAUGAACACCCUGUACACUCGUAAGAAAAAAAAGGUGCUAUCUAGAACCUUAAAGGGUUCUUCGGCUGUCCCGAAAGGAGAACCCUUUCAAAGAACUCUUUUUGGUUCCAGGUAGAACCCUUUGGUUCCAGAUAGGGCUCUUUUGGGUUUCAUGUACAACCCUUUCCACACAGGGUUCUAAGUGGAACCAAAAAGGGUUCUCCCUGGAACCAAAAAUGGUUCUCCUACUGGGACAGCUGAAGAACCUUUUGGAAGACUGUACAUUGCUGCAUAUACAUUUUCCACAAAAUAGGUUUUUAUAAUUUGUAUUCUGUUUGUCCAUUUGAAGAGAUAUUUCAGUGAAGUCACACCUACAAUGGUUCAAAAUGGUUCAUUCCCUCAAGACAAGACUUUGAAUAUGUUUCAAUAACAAUUGCCCCAGAUAUCUGGAAGAGGUCCAGAUGUUUCCAAUACUACACUGCAUGUUGUAGCAGCUGGUCUCACAGUUUCUCCCUACGGUCAGUCUGUGUCCCUUUUCACUCAUCACUCAUUUACACGUUGAGACAAAAUGGAUGCCGAACACACAUCAGCACUUCAUUGUUUGUCAGUAAUGGAUUUUUUUCUCUACAGAUUCAGCAGGGUACUACUUGAUUCUCCUCUUCGGCUGAUCGUCAGUCUCACAAAGCCCAAACAUGCAACAGAGUUUUAAAAAAGUGGGACAGUUGAGUGUACUUUAGUUCAGUUUUAAAUGUCACACAGCAGUGGUCCGUUCUCUCAGAAUUGCAUUUGUUUUCUCAUUUACUUAACGAUGAUUCUUUCUUUCCCACCUUAAUAUUGUCACUCCAAUAAACACAUGUUCAAUCUGGAUGCAGUACUCAUCUAACACAUACUGAUACACUGUUCAAUUCUAGAUUUUGUACAACAAUAUAAUAGAUAUAGCUUUAUAAAACGUGAAACAAAAUGUACAGUAUGAUGAUCAUAUUGUGUUUACACGUGUUUAGGCAAAAAUAGAUGUUUGUCUUGUAAAUAUUUAUCUUUCAGAGUGUGUCUUUGGAAGCCACUUGCUUUUGAGACACUUUUCAAACAGGGAAUGUGAGGUGAGGACAGAAGCAACAUUGUUUAUUGAAUCCUUUAUUGUUUCUUACCCCCCUGAAUGCAAUGUGUGGUUUGUGUUUCUAUGCGGUUGUCUUUAUUCACAGAUGCCACUUGGUGCUUUGACAUGCUAAGGGUCUCUUAUAGAGCAAAGCACACACACACACACACACACACACACACACACACACACACACACACGCUCUCUCUCUCUCUCUCUCUCUCUCUCUCUCUCUCUCUCUAUUGUACACAGACAGACACACAGACACAUCAUGCCCAUAGGGGCAUGUGCCCCAUCAGAUUUGGCCUGUUUAAUUAAUAUAUAUAUAUAUGUGUGUGUGUGUGUGUGUGUGUGUGGUUGUCGUUGUUUUCUCUGUAAUACUACUAGCCACCUAGCAAUUCUAUAAAGUUGGUUUUAGCCCAGAUAGGUUCCCAAUCUCCCAACCUCAUAAAUAACUACCAUGAAGCCAUUUCAGGCUAUCAAGUUAGAGUAGCUAGCUUGUCUAACUAUCUUAGCUGGCAUGCCUGCUGGCAAGGUUGGUUGACUUUAGAAAAGCAAGCAUUAACUAAAUGUACUGAAUAAGACUCUUUUACCCAGAUUUUAGCAGAGAUGCAGAGAAGCAUAUUUAGUUUCUUUAAAAAAAGAACCACCUUUCAGGAGGAUACAGACAGCUCAAGAGGUAUGUUUAGAUAUGCAGAAAAAUAGACACAUUUGGACAUAUAAUUAAACAUAAUGAUUAUGUCUCUAGAUUGCAGAAAAAAAGCUGUUUCAGGUGUUUGAAAAAUGCCAAAUUAUCCCCCUUCAGAACCACCCCCAGCCACCUUCACAUAGAUUUUUGGGGUGCAUAGUACCCUGCACACACACACACACACACACACACACACACACACACACACACACACACACACACACACACACACACACACACACACACACACACACACACACACACACACGUUAAAGUACCCUCCAAACCUCCAGGGAUGAAUUAGAUACGUUUUCCCCUUUUACUAAGCCUAUGCCUUCUACGACCACAACGAAGGAGAAAAUAAACAUUUAGACUUUAGAAGAUCUUGUGCUUUUCUACAUCUAUGACUGUCACCCUAAAUUACACCACCAGCUAACAAAGAUGUCAUCUACUGAAAAUAUAAAACAUCCAUUUAAACAUCAAUGAGCAAUUAUAAGAAUGGGUAAUAAGUAAUAAGGCACUUCAAAUUGCUCAGUAUACAAUGUGGCGAUAUAUUUGUCUGUUCAGAUACACUUCACAUACCACAUUGCCUUGGAAACAUGGCUAUAAGAGGCAGAAGCAGCCCAAAUAUCUCAACUGGAAACAGAGACUCAGGAUGCUCCCAUCUCAAUGGGUACUAACUCUCUGCACAAGAACAGACCAAACAACACAGUAACAAUCUAAAUAAAUACUCUUUCACACAUUUGUGAAGUACUCUAUCAAAACAUCACAAUUCUAACUAACUAACUACUAAACCAAAAAAUCCCCAAAAAUCGAAUCAACCACAAUCAUACAUUUAGGGAGAAAUAAAUCUCCCUAAAAAGGUUUAGCCCUUUGAAACAAGCCGUGUGAAGAGGAACCCAGCUAGCUCAGACGACACAUGAUGAUCUGUUGACGCCAUGGAGACAAUGUGUAUGUGAUGAAGGGGAAAUAUAAUAGUGGAAUAAGGCUCUUCGUACGUCGACAAGUGAAUCCACUCAAUGAGAAAUACACCCCCCCCCCCACAUGGACAGAGAGAAUGUCCUGUUGUUACAGUAUGGUAAUAAAAGUCUAGCCAAAAUCCAUCUGAGAGUUACUGUACUCCAUCACCUUGUUUCCAUCAUUCCCUAGACUAUACAGUAGCGUGGGAUUCCUGAAGGACGGGUCAUUUAUUUUGUGGAAACCUUUGGCUGACCCUGUCUGAAAUGGCUGACAGUAUCCAAACAUGGUACCUAAGAUGUGAGAGCCUGUUGCAGACUUAUCAGACCGUACAAAGUGGACAGUGCAGGGUUUCUUUUGUCCUGUUAGUCAAACGACAUGCUGUUGACGGGUGAGGAGUGCUAAAGGGGUGUGAGCUUUCCACUGUGUCUGAAAGCACCAGAAAGAGCAUUCUGCUGAGACACAGUGAGUGACAGCCAUCUUGUCUGGGGGCGGUGAACCCUGUCCCUCCAUUGGUGAUAAAUGGCUGUCACUUUCCGUCAAACACUCGGAUAACUGUUCUCUAAAAAGAGAGAGCACUUACUUUCCUGCUGGUAUCACUCAAACAACAGCUUAGCCUGAGCUGAAUCAGACGUUCCGUUCUGGGAAGCUAGGAGGCUCUUAGCAACACCAACCACUGAGACGGGUGACAGAUGACACCCAGACAUGGGUCCACUUAUCAACCUGACGGAUGGCUGGAUUGUGAACUUGGAUGGGUGCCUCUCGCACACCGCUGAGCUCGUGCAGUCGAACAGAUUGACUGAAUUAUACAUGCCAGGCUUCCAGAGGAUAACCUGUAUUUAAAUAAGGAAGAUUGGAAGGAUUCAGAUGAUCUUCAUCCUCUUCCACUUCCUUUGCCAUCACUAUUUCCAUUAAAAGCAGAAUUUAUUAAUAAUUACUCAUGACCUAAAUGUUGUGUUAUUUUGACGCCUCUAGUGAAUUUGCAGUAGGUUGCGUUGUCUUUUAUCUUUCCAAUAUUGGGGGCGAUGUUAGUCAUAACAAUGUCAGUAAGUGGGAGGAGACACUGGGGGACAAUGUCAGAGAGAGAGAGAGAGAGAGAGAGAGAGAGAGAGAGAGAGAUAGAUAGAUAGAAAAUGCAAAUAUGAUGUUCCUUAUGUUUCACAGGCCUUUAAACAAUGCCCUGAUAUAGUGGACGUCACAGUCACACAAAACGGGAUCAGGAGCAAGUGGGACACUAAGUGGGACGGGAGGGGAGGGGCUGUGUAAACCGAGCACGUAAUAGCCAAUCUUUAAUCUCCAGUAGGUGUUCCACAUCAUUUUAUAAUCUGAUCAGGCUCAUGAUGAGUUUCCAUUAAAGGCCUGUCCCAUAUCUCUCUUUAAGGAGACUGCCUUAAGGGGCUGCUCAAUGCGGGUGUCAUUUGCUGUUAAGCCCCCCUAGCAACCAACGUGGCGACCAUCCCAUGGCUGCUUUAUAUUCAUGACUUAAAUUGGAAUACAUUAGCAUGUUAGAGAUAAAUGGACUGUGUUGGAGAUCAGCAUACGGUGUGGACGACAUAUAUGGACACAAAUAGUAUGGCACAAAACCAUGGGAAUUCUAGUGUCGUAUUAUUUCUAACAUCAUUAGACUGUGAUCUCAAAAACACAUAUAUAAACAUUACAUAUGACUUCAUCUAUAUUCAUGUGUUGAAACACACACACACACACACACACACACACACACACACACACACACACACACACACACACACACACACACACACACACACACACACACACACACACACACACAGAUGUAGAUGAAUUAGUACAUCUAAUAUCGAGUAGCCCUUUUAAUUCACAAGGCCAUGGCCUGUGAUUAUUGGUAUAUAACCCCAUUCUGGGGUAAUAAUAGAAACAUGCACUUGAAAUAACCUCUAAAUCUCCACGGUAUGACACUCUAUCAAUCACUCUACAACCUUGGUAACCCCUACCUAACGAAUACAAACCACCUCUGAUGACAGCAAGACAAAAUACAAUCCUCUUCAAUCUUUCUCUUCAUUAUCAGUCAGGACUGACAUACAACAGGCUCUUGUCACAGGCGGUAACAUCUGCAACACAGCGGGAUCAAAUUAUGUUGAAAAUCCAAUCUCAGAGGAAUAUCCAACUCACCCCUGGAAAAGCACAAGAUCCCUUCCUGUAUAAUUGAAUAGGCUUUGGCUCCAAGCCCCUGCCAACUGCCACCCUCUGAAUGUAUUUACAAGCUCCAAGCAUCAACACACUUUUAGAAAACAGGUUCAUUAAGGGUUCUGAAGCUGUCCCCAUAGGAGAACCCUUUUUGUUGUCCAUGUUGAACUGGGUGGAAAGGGUUCUACAUGGAACGCAAAAGGAUUCUAUUGGAUCCAAAAGGGUUCUACCUGGAACCAAAAGGGGUUCUCACAGGGUUCUCCUACGGUGACAGCCAAAUAACCCUUUUUGGUUCUAGUUAGCACCUUGUUUUCUAAGAGUGUAGACUAUCUGACAAAAAAAACCAUCUUAAUAUACAAUCAAAGAAACAUCAAAUUCAUCAUGUAAUGAAUUGUUAGAGAUCAAAUCUCUGAUCAUCUAAAAUGAUGUGGAAAACAAAUGGCUAAAUAAUGUAAUUGAACGAUGCCUUUUUGGAUGUAUUUUUACAUGAUCUAUUUAUUUGUUUACUUGUGACCAUUUUCCACCUUUUUCUUUGGUGGCAAGAAUCUACUUUUUCAAACAAGUUUCCUAACCUCAGUCCUGCGUUGUGGUGAGAGGUGACCCUGGCCAGGCCUGGUCUCUGUCCUGCUAUACCCUUCAGGGGCCACUUAUGGUCCAUCCCAGGAGGGCUCCCAGCCAUGUUACUCAGUCGUAUAUGAACAUGUCAGAGAGGCAGUUUAGACAAGCUGCUCUGCUUUGUGUGCCGCCAACACAGAGUGCCACCGGCAUACAGAUAACAGUUUGUAGUAUGUACUGUAUGUCCUUGUGCUGUCUUUACUGGCGGACAUCUCCACUGAAACUGUGUGAUGGAUCAUUCUGUCACGCUCAGACUGAUGCACACACACACACACACACACACACACACACACACACACACACACACACACACACACACACACACAUUUAGAUUUUGCGUAUACAUUGAUAUAUACAGGUUUCUUUUUUUUACACUGAAUUUCAAACGGGAAGUUUGUGAAUUCAGUCAGCCCUAUUUUCCCUUAGAAUUUUGUCUUGUGCAGUGCAGAGUUCUCUAUCCAACUGUCCUUUUCAAGUUAGGUCUAUUUGUUCUCCUGGCUGUGCGCUUCUUUGUAAGUUUUAUGUCUCAACAGUUGCAUCACAAAUCUCAUUCAUCAGAGCCAAACCCAACAUGGCUGCAGGAUACAAGUUCUCUUGUAGAGUAAAAACAAAGGAAAGGGACCACAUCAUAAACACGUCUCUCUCUCUCUCUCUCCCCUCUC